UUGCUUCAGCAGCACAUAUACUAAAAUUGGAACAAUACAGAGAAGAUUAGCAAGGCCCUUGAGCAAGAAUGACAGGCAAAUUUGUGAAGCAUUCUAUAUUGGG